rnacentral:rRNA from 1 species
GCGGGGGGCGGGGGUGGGACUCAUCUCGGUGAGGGCCCAGCUUGUCUGAAUUAUUCACCCAUGUCUUUUGCGCACUUCUUGUUUCCUGGGCGGGUUCGCCCGCCACCAGGACCCAACCAUAAACCUUUUUUGUAAUUGCAAUCAGCGUCAGUACACAAUGUAAUUAUUACAACUUUCAACAACGGAUCUCUUGGUUCUGGCAUCGAUGAAGAACGCAGCGAAAUGCGAUACGUAGUGUGAAUUGCAGAAUUCAGUGAAUCAUCGAAUCUUUGAACGCACAUUGCGCCCUUUGGUAUUCCAAAGGGCAUGCCUGUUCGAGCGUCAUUUGUACCCUCAAGCUUUGCUUGGUGUUGGGCGUCUUUUUGUCUCUCGCGAGACUCGCCUUAAAAUGAUUGGCAGCCGACCUACUGGUUUCGGAGCGCAGCACAAUUCUUGCACUUUGAAUCAGCCCUGGUUGAGCAUCCAUCAAGACCACAUUUUUUUAACUUUUGACCUCGGAUCAGGUAGGGAUACCCGCUGAACUUAAGCAUAUCAAUAAGGCCGGAGGAAGAUUCCGCAGGUUCCCCUACGGAAAGGC